rnacentral:tRNA from 1 species
GCCUAGUUAGCUUAGUUGGUAGUGCGUCUGCCUUGUAAGCGCUAGGUCGCGGGUUCGAUUCCCGUCCGGGUU